UAGGGAAUCUUCGGCAAUGGACGAAAGUCUGAUCGAGCAACGCCGCGUGAGUGAAGAAGGUUUUCGGAUCGUAAAACUCUGUUGGUAGAGAAGAACGUUGGUGAGAGUGGAAAGCUCAUCAAGUGACGGUAACUACCCAGAAAGGGACGGCUAACUACGGGUCAG
rnacentral:rRNA from 1 species